rnacentral:lncRNA from 1 species
GUUUGGUUGAUGCAUAUAUCCAGGGCAGGGAGGCAGAGUAUUGGAUGUAAACUGGGCAUCUUCUUUUCUUUUCUUUUUUUUAUUUUUUUUGUAGUAGAGAAAGAAUUCACAUUGGAUUUACUGCUUAAGACCUAGAAAGUAGCCACAGCUGAAAAUCCCCAAAAGAGGUAGGUGCCCAUGUUCACCUAGCUCUGCUUCAGCAACCACUGUUUUUCGUAAAUUCAGUAAUCCUACUGCUGCAGUGUUACUCCUUUUUUUUGUGUAAUGAAAAUGUUGGUUUUUUUUUUGUUUUCAACUAGGAUGUUGUUGGAUAUUAAAUAUUUUCACAUGCUCAGAAAACCAGGAGAAAAAAGUAAAGAAAUCCACUGAGAACUAUGAAAUACAAUAGUCACCUGGAGAUCCCUGAGGUAUUGGGAAGAAGGGGUUGUUGGAGCUUGAAAUUUGAAGCAGAAUUUGACAAGGCGAACAUAUACGCAGAAAAUGAGACAAAUAAUUACAUGAACUACUCUGUGCCUGAGCACAAGACUCUUCAAUUAAGGGGUUUGUGCCCAUGCUUAACUAAAGAUGUGCAUUUACCUCAUCUUUUACAGGUAAGAAUCUCAAGUACACUCUCCUCUGUUAGACUGCACAGCCAUCAUUUCAUUCGGUGCGCAUGAAAUUUUGGCUGGUUCUUUCUGGAUGAGAACAAUUAAUUGCAGCUCUGAUUUUGUCAGCUUGUAGGACUUUGUGGGUAAGUAUGAUACUUCAUUUUUUAUCUCUUCUAGAACAUUGCAGGCAAUCAGUCUUGAGGAGUUCAGCUUAGUGUGAACGUAGGGCAAGUGUAAAUCACCAGGGAACAGUGGAGGAUUUAAAAUAUGGGUCCUCUAUUUUCCAUAAAAUUGGUAUCCAUUUAUAGAUAUUUUCUAGCAGCGAUAUUUUGUCCUUAGCCAAAUGUGUAAGUAAAGAAAGAUUUCGGCGUCAGAUUCUGAUUUGUCAGACUCUGAAUGCAUGAAUCUGUGGAGAAGCAAAUGCCCACAUUAUCUGCUAUUCUUUCCCACAUCAAUAUUGAUCUGUCCAAGACAGGGUCAUAAUACAGCCUACCCACAUCAAUAUUGAUCUGUCCAAGACAGGGUCAUAAUACAGCCUAAAUCAUCUGGGAAUUCAGGUCAUAGGUUCAACACAGCAUAGCACAUAUGCACUUCUGGUUUGGUAAAAUUAAUAAACCUCUGUGUGUGCAAGUUAAUAAAAAUUAA